GCGAACGGGUGAGUAACACGUGGGCAAUCUGCCCUGCACUUCGGGAUAAGCCUGGGAAACUGGGUCUAAUACCGGAUAGGACCUUUAGGCGCAUGUCUUUAGGUGGAAAGCUUUUGCGGUGUGGGAUGGGCCCGCGGCCUAUCAGCUUGUUGGUGGGGUGAUGGCCUACCAAGGCGACGACGGGUAGCCGGCCUGAGAGGGUGUCCGGCCACACUGGGACUGAGAUACGGCCCAGACUCCUACGGGAGGCAGCAGUGGGGAAUAUUGCACAAUGGGCGCAAGCCUGAUGCAGCGACGCCGCGUGGGGGAUGACGGCCUUCGGGUUGUAAACCUCUUUCACCAUCGACGAAGGUCCGGGUUUUCUCGGAUUGACGGUAGGUGGAGAAGAAGCACCGGCCAACUACGUGCCAGCAGCCGCGGUAAUACGUAGGGUGCGAGCGUUGUCCGGAAUUACUGGGCGUAAAGAGCUCGUAGGUGGUUUGUCGCGUUGUUCGUGAAAUCUCACGGCUUAACUGUGAGCGUGCGGGCGAUACGGGCAGACUAGAGUACUGCAGGGGAGACUGGAAUUCCUGGUGUAGCGGUGGAAUGCGCAGAUAUCAGGAGGAACACCGGUGGCGAAGGCGGGUCUCUGGGCAGUAACUGACGCUGAGGAGCGAAAGCGUGGGGAGCGAACAGGAUUAGAUACCCUGGUAGUCCACGCCGUAAACGGUGGGUACUAGGUGUGGGUUUCCUUCCUUGGGAUCCGUGCCGUAGCUAACGCAUUAAGUACCCCGCCUGGGGAGUACGGCCGCAAGGCUAAAACUCAAAGGAAUUGACGGGGGCCCGCACAAGCGGCGGAGCAUGUGGAUUAAUUCGAUGCAACGCGAAGAACCUUACCUGGGUUUGACAUGCACAGGACGCGUCUAGAGAUAGGCGUUCCCUUGUGGCCUGUGUGCAGGUGGUGCAUGGCUGUCGUCAGCUCGUGUCGUGAGAUGUUGGGUUAAGUCCCGCAACGAGCGCAACCCUUGUCUCAUGUUGCCAGCGGGUAAUGCCGGGGACUCGUGAGAGACUGCCGGGGUCAACUCGGAGGAAGGUGGGGAUGACGUCAAGUCAUCAUGCCCCCUAUGUCCAGGGCUUCACACAUGCUACAAUGGCCGGUACAAAGGGGUGCGAUGCCGCAAGGUUAAGCGAAUCCUUUUAAAACCGGUCUCAGUUCGGAUUGGGGUUUGCAACUCGACCCCAUGAAGUCGGAGUCGCUAGUAAUCGCAGAUCAGCAACGCUGCGGUGAAUACGUUCCCGGGCCUUGUACACACCGCCCGUCACGUCAUGAAAGUCGGUAACACCCGAAGCCAGUGGCCUAACC
rnacentral:rRNA from 1 species